AAUUAGAAGACAGAGUACAUCAUACAUACGGUUUUGUUUUAUAAUCUGUGGUGGCUCUGAUCCACUUGGUCUCUUAUCCAGAUAGAUGGCUACCUUUUGCCCUUCAGCCUAAAUAUUAUGAUCAGAUGAUUGAUGGCUAUAAUACCUCUGAUGUCACUUCCAGUGUCCUUCCACUUGGACCCACAGCCAGACCCUGUCAGAAGGACCCAAAACAAGAACUUCCACCAUAUUGGGACAGUUAUGUUCUGAAUUCACAUCCGCAAAAACAAGUUUGCAAUAAUUGCAUAUAUUUUUGUUUAUUUUUCAAAAACAGACGGGGUGACCAGACUAGUACCCCAACUCUUUAUUGUUGUCAUUUGUUUCUCUUACAGUAUAUACUGUAUAUGAAGGUUGGAAAGAUAGAUGGAUGGUAACUACUCUGGGUUAUAUGGUGGUUAAGGGACUUCCUAUUAUACAUUAUAUAUUAUAUGUUACAGUAUACAUACAUAUAGUACAUACAUAUAAAAUAAAGUAAUAACAGCAAAAUAGUUGUAAAAACUGGAAUAAUCUUAUUUAUUGCUGUUAUGUCAGCAGGUGAAGAGAGAAAGCACAUCUGGUGAACAUUGAUGUGGCCUAUGGUUGAAACUGGCAGAGGCAUAGCAAGGGCAAAAUGAAUGAUAUUGAUAUUAGAUAUUGACUUCCUGUGUAGGAUAAAAGCACAGACAUGUGAGUCGCAGUGCUAGCUUUAAAUUCUUUCACCAUGUUCUUUUUUGAAUCUGUAAAGAUUCUGCAAGGAUGUGACAUGAUGACACAUGUGACAAUAUGCAUUUAAUUAUAUACUGUAUUGAUUGAUUGAUUGAUUGAUUGAUUGAUUUAUUUACUUAUUUUUAGAGUUUAUAAGAAAUUGUAACUGAAUCUUGUAAAUUGCCUUAGGUAAAGUCAGCUGCUAAAAUGAAAUCUUAGCCUUCCUUGGCAGUACUGAUUGCAAGGCAGAACCCAACCCUGGAUGGAGCGCACUUACUCGCUCUCUCACACACAUCCCCAUUUAUUCAUAAAGAACCAAUUUAGAGACAUAAAUUAACUUUGGGUGCAAAUUUUGAUAGGAGGAGAGAGCAGAACUCAGGAGUCGUGAAUCACAGCACUAAUUGCUUUGUGACCUUAAACAUAAUCUGAGUAAUUAUUUUGUGAUAAUGCUUUGGAGAAGAUAAUAUAAUAUCUUUUUUUGAAACAAAAUCAACAUUAGUUGUUGGUCUACUGUACACAUAUCAUAUGGUAAUUUAUCUUAGAGCUUUCUCGUAGGGCCUGGGAUUUGUGCAUAAAGCUUGGAUCAGCAAAGAAAGGAAAGUGACUUAAGCUAAAACAGUGCAGACUGAUUUGUUUUAACCCAGAGAGUGUACGAAUUUUAAAGCAUGAGAAAGUUUACAGACAAGUCAAAAGCAAAUGGAGACGCUAAAUUUGACAAUCAAAGACCUUUAGGAUAGACAUGGGGUCUCAUUGACGUCAAAGGUGGAGGCCUGUAUACUGACUAGAAAUUAAAUCCUUUACUCUGAGAAUAGUUUGUUCAGUGUAACUUGGAAACCAUGAAAAACUAUCCAUUUUUAUUAGAAGUCAAAGUACAUCUAGAGUCCACCAUUAGUCAAAGUUCAAAUUAGGCUCAAUAAGAAUAGUGAUCAAGACAAGGAAUGUCACAGCUCACAUAAUACAGACCUCAAAUGAACAGAGAGGUUCAACAUUGAUCGAUGAAGUAAGAAUCUCAAUGGAAAAUACACUUCCGAAAAGUUUUGCUGCUGCCAUAGUGCAGCCGUAAUCUCCCAGUCUAACUUCUCUGUCUCAAGCCAGUGAGGAAAAGACAAGGGUGAUUUUAGAUUUUUUUUUUUUUUUUCAUUUUUUUCUUUAGCAUAAAUGAAUAAGGGAGGUGAUAGGGAAGUUAGUUACUGAUAAGCAGAAUUUUGAGAAAAGCAUGGUUUUGAUGAAGCCAAAAAUUACAGCAAUAUUGUGUAGAUAAUGAUGGUUUCUUUCAUUUCUAAAGAAUUGCAGAAACUGGGGACACAGCAAAAAAUGAGUAAAUAUUUUUAUUAAAUGUCUAAAAAAAUAAUCUUUCCCAAGGCUUACAAAAAUUGUGCACUUAGUCAGCAGAAAUUUUACAACACCUCCUCCAAAUGUUUAGUUCACCUCCACAUGGUUUUAAG